rnacentral:rRNA from 1 species
CCCGGCGACCGGCGCACGGGUGAGUAACACGUAUGCAACCUGGCCGCCACAGGGGAUAACCCGCGGAAACGCGGCCUAAUAUCCCGUGACGCCACCGGAGGGCAUCCUCCGGUGGCCAAAGGAGCGAUCCGGUGGCGGAUGGGCAUGCGGCGCAUUAGCUAGACGGCGGGGUGACGGCCCACCGUGGCGACGAUGCGUAGGGGUUCUGAGAGGAAGGCCCCCCACACUGGGACUGAGACACGGCCCAGACUCCUACGGGAGGCAGCAG